rnacentral:rRNA from 1 species
UACGAGGGGGGCGAGCGUUGUUCGGAAUUACUGGGCGUAAAGCGUGCGCAGGCGGUUCGUUGUGUCGGCGGUGAAAGCCCCGGGCUCAACCUGGGAAUGGCCGUUGAAACUGGCGAACUGGAGUGUGGCAGAGGGGGGUGGAAUUCCGCGUGUAGCAGUGAAAUGCGUAGAGAUGCGGAGGAACACCGAUGGCGAAGGCAGCCCCCUGGGCUGACACUGACGCUCAGGCACGAAAGCGUGGGGAGCAAACAGG